GCCACUGAGGAUGAUCGUCAAUUUAAAAUAACUUUCGUUCUUCUGAUAAAUAUUCCAUGCGGAAGAUCUACGGAGAACUGAAGUGGC